GUGGAUCUGGUUUCCAGGUGGUUUGGUGACUCUCAAACCAUGAUUCAGCAGACCUGUGAGGCUGUGAGUUCCCUAUCAGAACACAAUCUGCAGGUUGUAUUGUGCCAUAUAUCUGUGUCCAAAUUAUAAGCACAAUGAUGAAUCUUUUACUGGGAGUCAAGAUAUGUGCAGGAUGGUGAAACUUAUCACUGGACCUUUCCACAGUGUUAUUGUCACAUAUACCUUUGUCCAACAUGUGAGUGAUUUGACUCUGCAGACUGGGUCCAGUUCACAAACAAAAUUGUGCCAUAUACCUGGGCCAAGAACCUAAUAGAUGGAGUCUUGCUCUGUUGCCCAGGCUGGAAUGCAAUGAUGCAAUCUCAGCUCACUGCAACCUCCAUCUCCCAGAUUCAAGUGGUUCUCCUGCCUCAGCCUCCCAAGUA
rnacentral:lncRNA from 10 species